GAUCCCAGUAUAUAAAAGUCUUUCGAUUGAUCGUCGCUCCAAGAAGUCAUUGCAGCUCGAAAUCCGAAAAAAUGUUCAAGUCUCCGUUCUUAUUUCUACUCGUCGUAGCAGUUUUUCUGACGGUGUUUGUUUUCGACGAUGUCGAGGCAAAAAAGGGUGCAAAGAAGUGUAGAGGACGUAAGUGCAAAGGUAAGCAAGACGCCGCCGCUGCAGCCUCCACAGCAGCACCAGCAGCAACAUAAACGUGAUUCGAAGGACUGAAUUCAUGUUAAUCAAUGUCACGGUGGAUUAAAAACCAAACGUCACAUAUUUCGAUGAUUCACAGCCAAGGAACACGCUGAAGAUCGCAUUAUUUUUGGUUACAAGGCGUUGUGAGCACAAAAUGUGUACGUGACAUUGUAGAAAAAAUUAAAUAAAUGAAUUAAUCA